AUUAGGAAUCACAACCACGAGCCAGAGCCGUGUCGACGGUCCAAUGAUGUGAGAUGUACGAUUGUCUGGUGAGGGAGAAAGAGCCAAUCAGACUGGGAAAGUAAUUCCUGGCGCGGUAGACACCGCAGUGGGCAGCGCUUGAAUUACAGCACAAGUGUGUCUACGGCAAUAGAACUCCAUUCAUGCAGUCGGUGUGCGUGAGGGCGUUCUCUUACCUUUUGUACAAUUUAAAUACGUUUCCGGUCUGACGAUACCAGUGCUCAGGCAAGUUCUGUUGUGGAGGCUGAUGGAGUAGAACCAGCUGAUGAACGAGAAAGUGAGCACACUUUCAGUGAAGGCAUGGAAAAGGUUUGGAGGAUGAACUUGCUGACUCCAAACGAGACAGGAGCUGUCACACCAUUCCACGAGCUCCUGCAGGGCUGAGCCGUGGUGCUGUGUUGGUCCUGAAAGCAGAGACAGGAGGACAAUGUUGUCUGCAAACUUGACGAGGUGAAGGUUUGGCUGGGAGGCACUGCAGUCAUCAGGGUAGAGGAUGAAGAGCCGUGGUUAGAGGACACAGCCCUGUGGGGGGCCAGUUGAGAUAUGGAGGAGGCCAGAGAAGGUGUUGCUGACCAGAACUCCCUCACCACAUCCUCUGUGUCAAAGGUGAGGGCAGAGGGACUUGGUUUGAGGAAAUAGUUGCUUUGAGCUAAGUGCUGCUGUCUGUCUCAAAUCUGGAGUAGAAGGAGUUAAGAUCAUCAGGGAGUGUUGCUCGGUUAUUACCUACAAACUGGAUGAUUCUGCUGGUUGGGGGAGCAGUAUUUACAGCUGCCAUGGGAAACCAGGGCCGGUGGGUGACUGUUCGUAGAAGGCAUAGCUUCAGACCAAAGCCCACCGAGUGCCACCAACCACUUAAUGUCUCUAAUAGGUAUUCCCCACUUGCCGACACACCCGCCAAAGAACCGGCUCUGAUCAUUGGAGACUCUGUUUUGCGAAAUGUUAAGC